rnacentral:rRNA from 1 species
UUCCGGUUGAUCCNGCCGGAGAAUACCGCUUUUGGAGUUCGGAUUAGCCAUGCAAGUCAGAGACCCUUGUGGUCUCGGCGAACGGCUCAGUAACACGUAAAUAACCUACCCUGUGGAGGCGGAUAACCUCGGGAAACUGAGGGUAAUACGCCAUAGGGAAUUUGUACUGGAACGUCUUAUUCCUUAAAGGCUUUCGGGUGCCGCAGGAUGGGUUUGCGGUGGAUUAGGCUGUUGGUGAGGUAAUGGCUCACCAAACCUCUGAUCCAUACGGGCUGUGGGAGCAGUGGCCCGGAGAACGGUANUGAGACAAGGACCGUAGCCCUACGGGGUGCAGCAGGCGCGAGAACUCUACAAUGCACGAAAGUGUGAUAGGGGAACUCCAAGUGCAAACAUUUGUUUGCUUUUCUCAAGUUUACAAAGCUUGGGGAAUAAGAGCUGGGCAAGACCCGUGCCAGCCGCCGCGGUAAUACGGGCAGCUCGAGUGGUGUUCGCGAAUACUGGGCCUAAAGCGUUCGUAGCCGGUUCAGUCAGUUCUUGGUGAAAUCCUGCGACUCAAUCGUGGGGCUUGCCAGGAAUACUGCUGGACUUGGGGAUGGGAUAGGUAGGAGGUACUCCAGAGGUAGGGGUUAAAUCCUGUGAUCUCUGGCGGACCGACAGUGGCGAAGGCGUCCUACUGGAACAUGCCCGACGGUGAGGAACGAAAGCUGGGGGAGCAACCCGGAUUAGAUACCCGGUUAGUCCCAGCCGUAAAUGAUGCUGGCUUCGUGUCGCACUCCCCACGAGGAAGUGCGGUGCCGAAGGGAAGCCGUUAAGCCAGCCGCCUGGGAAGUACGGUCGCAAGGCUGAAACUUAAAGGAAUUGGCGGGGGAGUACCACAAGGGGUGGAGGCUGCGGUUUAAUUGGAUUCAACGCCGGA